AUGCUCACUUCGGCAGCACAUAUACUAAAAUUGGAAUGCUACAGAGAAGAUUAGCAUGGCCCCUGCGCAAGGAUGACAUGCAAAUACGUGAAGAAAUCUCCUAACCC
ensembl:snRNA U6 U6 spliceosomal RNA